GCCAAUGUAGCUAAGUGGUUAGAGCAUUGGCCCAUGCACCGAAGGGUCAUGGGUUUGAUUACCCGUCAAGGGCA
rnacentral:tRNA from 1 species